rnacentral:tRNA from 1 species
UAGAUAAGUGACUGAGUGGCUUAAAGUGACAAUUUUGAAAAUUGUUAUGAAAAUUCAUCGUAGGUUGAAUCCUACCUUAUCUAA